AGCUCCUUCACUCUGCUCUCUGCACGUAUCGAUUUAUGAUUAUCAGUUUGAUUCAUUCAUGACGGCGGCCCUCGUGAUGCUGAGAGGUCACACUGGAAACAGUGCGACUAGUUUGAACUUUGAAGCUCAGCAGCUAAUCCUUAUAUUAGAGUUUGGUUUAUUUUUAUGUACAUGCUGGAAUAUCGACGAGGCUGGAUCCCCGAGAGGCCCCACAGGCUCGGUGCCAGCUCUCUCUCUCUGCGUAUAUUUUCAGGACUUUUAUUACAUGCACAUUAGCUCGCGGUGAUGAACAUAACGGGGAACAUUAUCUCAUUAGAAUAUGUAGACCUUUAAAUGUCAAAAAUAAACAAAAACGAUCAGCGGAGCGACGAGCGUGCAUUUUUGAAUAUGUAACAGAUUCAUCGUUUCCUCCUUUACGUUCAGUUUGUUGAAAACAAAAAGUACUCUGCUGUUUUGUGUCAAGACUUUUACACUUUUUUAAAGAUAGAGUUGUGAACGAUAAAGACGCACUUUAAUACUUUUUUAUUCAUCUAAAAAGUGCUCUGUGUCCUAAACUCCUGUGAGGCCGAUGAACCAGUAUAAAAAGCUGAGAGAGAGUUUUAUAUCAUCUAUCAUCAGAGAGGCGCUGUUAUGACUGCACGUGCAGCCGCCACCCUCAACCCCUCGCUGCACAAAGCGUGCAGGGGUUCAGAGCGACAUAGACCGGACUUGUGACCUCACUUUUUCUACUUUCCUCAUCAUGGUGCAUUUAAAUCAAACGGUUGUGUACAGGUCAGUACAUAAAGCGUGUGGAGUGCUGCUCUGACUGCUCAGUUAAAAACAACAGGUGAGCAGAGGAGGCGGGAGAGGCUGUGGGUCUGUGCUUCACAACGAUCGACGUUACCGUAGGCUGAGAGGCUCGACUAGCGUACAAGUAGCUCAGAGGAUUACAAACUCCAGCUGGUGGACACAGACGGUACUGAAGGAGACACACAGCUGCACACAGACUGACCGAUGAGGAACACGAUGAAGAUCGUCUCACGGGAAGGGAAAACACUUUUUACUACUCAGAGACCCUCAACACACAGACUGAGACUUUGACUCCAGAUUUCAGGUCACAUUUUGCACCUGUUUCUGAAAUGUCUCUCUGUUAGCUUAAAUUACUUUAAAUGCUACCCUUCAGAAUCAGAAUCAGAAUCAGCUUUAUUGGCCAGGCAUGCUUACACACACAAGGAAUUUAACUUUGGUGAACUGUGCUCUCUUAUGUACAGGUACAACAUUAAAUAUCAACAAUAAACAAUAAUAAGAAAAGACUAGUAUUUACAUGACUGUGUAUAUAGUAUACAUAUUUAGUAUAUGUACUAAAUAUGAAACAGUGCAGUGGUGAACAGUGCAAAAGAUGCUGAAGUAACAUGAUAAUAAGAAAAAUGCAGUUAUGUGACAGAGGGGUCAAUUACAGUAUUUACAUAAGUGUGUGUAUAUUGAUCAUUUAAAUUAAAUAAUAAAUACAGUAUAUACAUACAUGUAUAUUCACAGUGAUGGUUUGGUUUAGAGUCAUUUCACAGUGACAGGUCUGACACUCUGUGACUGUUUAGCGUUCAUCAGAGUGACAGCCUGGGGGAAGAAACUGUUCUUAUGGCGGGUUGUUUUUGCGUACAGUGUUCUGUAACGCCUGCCAGAGGGGAGGAGUGUGAAAAGUUUGUGUCCAGGGUCCGGAAAACACGUUAAAAAAAACAGCCGACAGCUUCUGCAUGACAUCAGUUUGAAUCCUAACUCUGACAUGUCGUAAUGGACGGGUGUGUAGCCCCCUCUGUGCAGUGUGGAGUAAAGCUGAAUGAAAAUGUUCAGAAAGAAAAAUGUUCUGCAGCUUGACAGCCAGAUGGAAAGGCUGAUGCUCAAUGUGUUUACCCCACAGCGUUUUCAUACAGGUCGCACACAAACACACACACAAAACCUAUAUCUGAGACAUUUCAGUCGUUAUUUUAAGAACUUUUCAGAACAAGCAGCUUCCUGCUUCGACUGUCUGUAUCGAAUUUAAAGUCAGCCACAAGCAGCAACCUCCGGUCUUGAAA